ACGGGUGCGUAACGCGUGGGAAUCUGCCCCUUGGUUCGGAAUAACAGCGAGAAAUUGCUGCUAAUACCGGAUGAUGACUUCGGUCCAAAGAUUUAUCGCCAAGGGAUGAGCCCGCGUAAGAUUAGGUAGUUGGUGGGGUAAUGGCCUACCAAGCCGACGAUCUUUAGCUGGUCUGAGAGGAUGAUCAGCCACACUGGGACUGAGACACGGCCCAGACUCCUACGGGAGGCAGCAGUGGGGAAUAUUGGACAAUGGGCGAAAGCCUGAUCCAGCAAUGCCGCGUGAGUGAUGAAGGCCUUAGGGUUGUAAAGCUCUUUUACCAGGGAUGAUAAUGACAGUACCUGGAGAAUAAGCUCCGGCUAACUCCGUGCCAGCAGCCGCGGUAAUACGGAGGGAGCUAGCGUUGUUCGGAAUUACUAGGCGUAAAGCGCACGUAGGCGGCUACUCAAGUCAGAGGUGAAAGCCCGGGGCUCAACCCCGGAACUGCCUUUGAAACUAGGUAGCUGGAAUCUUGGAGAGGUCAGUGGAAUUCCGAGUGUAGAGGUGAAAUUCGUAGA
rnacentral:rRNA from 1 species